rnacentral:rRNA from 1 species
AUUGAACGCUGGCGGCAGGCCUAACACAUGCAAGUCGAGCGGAGCGGCAGACGGGUGAGUAAUGCCUACGUAUCUGCCUGGUUGUGGGGGAUAACGUCCAGAAACGGGCGCUAAUACCGCAUUCUUUCGUCUCAGCAUAGGUCGGGUGAGCUAGUUGGUGGGGUAAAGGCCUAGAAAGGCGACGAUCCGUAACUGGUCUGAGAGGAUGAUCAGUCACACUGGAACUGAGACACGGUCCAGACUCCGACGGGAGGCAGCAGUGGGGAAUAUUGGACAAUGGGCGAAAGCCUGAUCCAGCCAUGCCGCGUGUGUGAAGAAGGUCUUCGGAUUGUAAAGCACUUUAAGUUGGGAGGCGUUACCAACAGAAUAAGCACCGGCUAACUUCGUGCCAGCAGCCGCGGUAAUUC